AUUGAACGCUGGCGGCAGGCCUAACACAUGCAAGUCGAGCGGAUGAAGGGAGCUUGCUCCUGGAUUCAGCGGCGGACGGGUGAGUAAUGCCUAGGAAUCUGCCUGGUAGUGGGGGAUAACGUCCGGAAACGGGCGCUAAUACCGCCUACGUCCUGAGGGGGAAAGUGGGGGAUCUUCGGACCUCACGCUAUCAGAUGAGCCUAGGUCGGAUUAGCUAGUUGGUGGGGUAAAGGCCUACCAAGGCGACGAUCCGUAACUGGUCUGAGAGGAUGAUCAGUCACACUGGAACUGAGACACGGUCCAGACUCCUACGGGAGGCAGCAGUGGGGAAUAUUGGACAAUGGGCGAAAGCCUGAUCCAGCCAUGCCGCGUGUGUGAAGAAGGUCUUCGGAUUGUAAAGCACUUUAAGUUGGGAGGAAGGGCAGUAAGUUAAUACCUUGCUGUUUUGACGUUACCAACAGAAUAAGCACCGGCUAACUUCGUG
rnacentral:rRNA from 1 species